UAGGGAAUCUUCGGCAAUGGGGGGAACCCUGACCGAGCAACGCCGCGUGAGUGAAGUAGGUUUUCGGAUCGUAAAGCUCUGUUGUUAAGGAAGAACGAGUGUGAGAAUGGAAAGUUCAUACUGUGACGGUACUUAACCAGAAAGGGACGGCUAACUACGUGCCAGCAGCCGCGGUAAUACGUAGGUCCCGAGCGUUGUCCGGAUUUAUUGGGCGUAAAGCGAGCGCAGGCGGUUAGAUAAGUCUGAAGUUAAAGGCAGUGGCUCAACCAUUGUAGGCUUUGGAAACUGUUUAACUUGAGUGCAGAAGGGGAGAGUGGAAUUCCAUGUGUAGCGGUGAAAUGCGUAGAUAUAUGGAGGAACACCGGUGGCGAAAGCGGCUCUCUGGUCUGUAACUGACGCUGAGGCUCGAAAGCGUGGGGAGCGAACAGG
rnacentral:rRNA from 1 species